rnacentral:lncRNA from 1 species
CGUCAUUAAGGAUUUGUAUCUAAUCAUCACUGGGUUUACAAUAUUAAAACCUUACUUAUUUAUCAUCCCAGACCAUUAAUCCUGCUGUUUCUCUCUUUAUUUUCCCUGCUAUUUCCUCCUCAACUGAAAUAAACUUAUUCAUUCAUUCCAAUCGGCUGGCAUUCCAUCCGUUUGUCCACCUUAAAGGAUCUCAUCUCUUUGCUCUCCCUCUCUCUCCCUUCCUCAUUUAUCUUCAUUUUUUCCCCUUGUUCUUCUCGCAGUCCGUGGGGAAGAACUUCACCUUGGCUUCCACAUCCUGACAUA